rnacentral:rRNA from 1 species
GUCGAACGGGCCUGGUAGCAAUAUCAGGUCAGUGGCGUAAGGGUGAGUAAGGCGACGGCAACCAACCCCAUGGUUGGGCAUAGCCGCGGGAAACUGCGGGUAAUUCCCAGCGAUGUUCGUGCCGGGCAUCCGGCGUGAACCAAAGUUUCGGCGCCGUGGGACGGGCCGUCGUGGUAUUAGGUAGUUGGCGGGGUAAUGGCCCACCAAGCCUCUGAUGCCUACCGGGCGUGCGAGCGUGGCCCGGCACACUGGGACUGAGACACUGCCCAGACUCCUACGGGAGGCUGCAGUCGAGAAUCUUCGGCAAUGGGCGCAAGCCUGACCGAGCGACGCCGCGUGGAGGAUGAAGGCCUUCGGGUUGUAAACUCCUGUCGAGGGGGAGGAAGGCGCAAGCUUGACCUAUCCCUGGAGGAAGCACGGGCUAAGUUCGUGCCAGCAGCCGCGGUAAGACGAACCGUGCGAACGUUAUUCGGAAUCACUGGGCUUAAAGCGCGUGUAGGCGGAUGGGGACGUCGGUUGCUGAAAUCCCCCGGCUCAACCGGGGAACGGGCACCGAAACGCCCCGUCUGGAGGGACGUAGGGGGACCUGGAACUUCCGGUGGAGCGGUGAAAUGCGUUGAGAUCGGAAGGAACGCCCGUGGCGAAAGCGAGGUCCUGGACGUUUUCUGACGCUGAGACGCGAAAGCUAGGGUAGCGAACGGGAUUAGAUACCCCGGUAGUCCUAGCUGUAAACGAUGGGCACUGGGUAGAGGGCUCGCCGAUGGGCUCUCUGCCGUA